rnacentral:lncRNA from 1 species
AGCUCAUCACCAAGCUCGCCUCCUCCGCGGCGCGGGGUCGGCUGGGAGAUGGAGUGCAGAGCCUGGUGGAGUCGGGACGGCGUUGUCUCGCAGGGACUACAACUCCCAGAAUGCACCGCCACUCGGGCUUCGCUGCUUUCAUUCUCGGGCGGCUCUGCCUUUGGUCUUGCUCAAGUCGCCUCAGUCGGACGACCGUGGGCUGGCCUUCUCCAAAGCCGCGGAUCUGGCUGCCCGUCCUGCUGAGGCGCCAGUGAGAUUUCAACCAUUACUCCGUAUACAAAGUCGUUUUGUUUCUAGCCGUAAUCGAUGAAGUACGGCGAGAGAGGAAAGAGGAGGCGGCUGCCUGAAAAACUGGUUGCUCGUGCACCUAGCCCUGUUGCCGGGGGCGAAGGUUGGCUAUUUGGGACUUGGAGGAAGAACUCAGGUCCCUGCCGCAGACGCGGGUCAGGACACGAAAUCUCAUUUUCCCCCUGCAACAGAUGUUAUGUUCUAUCUUUUCGUAAGUAAAGCAUUUCAGAAAUGGCCCGCGGGUGACUUAAGGACAGCUGCACUGCCCUCAAAUCACCUGCCUGAGUUGUAAGUUAGACCCAGCUGCCUCCUUGAGACCAAGCUUGGAGAUUUUGCCGCACUGGCUUACACCUCUACGAAACAAGACACUGUAGUAAUCUCAACUACUGUAUCUCCACCCAAAAUUGAAACUCCCCACUUCCGCCAGAUUACAUUCAUUUGUUAAAGAGGUGCCCCCAGAAGAAUAGAGGGUAAAUGUGUCCCUCUUUUAGAAGGAAUCAGAGCCUUCGAGUUUUCCUGUGAUUCUUUUGCUCCCUGAGAUACCUUUUUACUCUUCUAAAAAUUACAGUUUCCUGUCUUCUGUCUCCAAAAACAAACACAAAAGUUCUAAGCAGCAAUCCCUUGAUUUAAUAAAUGUAUCCUGCCAUACCCAGCUGCCCUACUAUGUGAACUGUAUUCCCUAAGAAGCAACAUUAGGAACAAAUACCAUGUAUAAAAAUACAUUAAAGGAUAAUUACUUGCUUUGCAACAGAUUUAAUAUAGAUUCCUGUGAAGAGAAUGAA